GGGGAAAGAGGGAAGAUGGGGAAAACGGAGAAUAGGAAGGGAGACAGAGGACGAGGGAGAAGAAGAGAGGGGGAAGAACAACGCUAUGGAGCUUGGCGCCGCUGCCGAGCUGCUGUCGCAGAGAAGAAAGGGAGAGGCGAACGUGACCCACGGAGGAGAGGAAGGAGUUGCCGUCAAGCCACGCCCUGUUGCCUUGUUCGUGUAUCGCCGUUGUUGUUCGCUGAGGGUGAGACGCGAAGAGAAGAUGCUAACCUGCACCAUCGUGCCUCACUAUCUUCGUCGAGCCUUCAUCAUUGUCGCUCCCUAUUCCCGUUGCCAUCAGGGUUUGUUGCCACUGCCAUUAAGAGUGACGCAGCAGAGGAGGAGUCGUUCCUCUUCCGCCGCCGUCGCCGGAGACCUUGGUUGCUACUGUUCAUAUGGGUGAGUUCGUUGUUUCCUAGUUACCGGAGUCACUGUCUAUGAAUCUUUUGUUGCUUUAGAAUGACCUUGUCCCUAUCUUUAAUGUUCCUGAGUACACUAUAGUUGUUGGAAUCAUUACAGCUGGAACUUGUCACCGGGGGAGAGAAGCGGCUGCACCAUCCUAUUCAUUUUGACAUUGAACCUCUAUUCCUAACCCUUAUUAUGGUGUUAUGCUGAAAUUGCCGAAAUUGCCGUUGCUGCGAGCGUAACCAGAAUUGAUGCUGCUGCCGCCGUCUUGGUUGCGUUGAAAUCGCCGCUGCAGUUGCCAGUUUAGACUAAGCAGGGAUUGUUGCGUUAAACUAUGCGAUUGCGACAUCGAGCGACAGGUUUGAAGAUGCAAUUUGAAGCUGCGAGCGAUCAGUAGGCUUUCUUU